AGAAGAGAAAGUUGUUGCUUGCUUCCAGCCAUGAACUUACUCUGCCUGCGAUGUAUUUUUUUUAUCCCGUGUUUAUUUUCUUCAGUUAAGUUGUGAACUUAAACCAAACCUCUGCAUUGGCAAAAUACUAGCACCUUUAUGCACCGUUUCUUCAAUGGUGGCUGGGCACCGCGGAUGGCAUCCUCUUCUUCGUGGCAUGGCACAGGUUCAUCAGUCAGGUGGUCAGCACCCAAACUAAAACCAUGAGGCAUGGUGGCCAGGAUGACGUCCAAGAAUUGCAUCCCAGCAGCACAGAUGGGGGAGCCAACAUGAAGAGGUGUCCAGAGAGGCUUCUUUCGCUUGGGCUUUGCAGCAGCACCAGGACCUCACCAUCAGUGAUGCUGGUCCCCUCAUCCAUCGGGCCUACCCUUACAUUCUUCCCCUGAUGCACUGAUCACCUGUACCAGUUGUUGGAGUUUUCAGCAGGGCUCUAAAUUAUUUUUAAUCACUAGUAGCCAAAAUGGCUAGUAUGUUAAUCUCCGGUACAUUAAAUAAUGGGUCAAAGUGCCAAAUAUGUUUUUUCUUUUCUACCAGCAAAACUUAAUUUUCCCAGCAUUUGGCUGGUUGGCUGGUGAGCCCUGGUUGUCAUUGAUAGUGAGUAGUUGUGAUAAUAAAUAACUGAUAUAAUGAAGUCCAUCCAGACAUGUUUUGCUUAUUUUAUUGUACUAAUACAACAACGUAGAACAUUUUCUGUGAACGUGAAGUGAAAGCCCAACUGGGAAACUCCAACUCCCAUUGACAUUGUGACACAGCACACAAGUGUUCACUGCAUGAAAUUGCAUUUAUGCU